CGUCUUUGAUUCUUUUCUCUUCGUCCAUCUUCCAGCGUUGGAGCUCCAUCGUCUGCAGCGGAAGUCGUCGUCUGAAAACGAGUCCAGAUUCGGGGAACGGUGAGGGAAGGUUACCUUCUGUUUAGCUGUACAGAUGCAACUAUGGCUUCAGACUACUUCCUUGUAGCGAGUAAAUGCCAUACCAUGUUCUGAGAUGAUGAGCUCUCAUGAGACACGGAGGAGAAUCCAUUGGCGGAUGAGACUGCGCCCACCGACCUGCGUGGUGACUCGAAACUGCGCUCGUAGCUGUCUGAAAGAUUUGACAACCUCGGAGGGUAGGAGCGUUCGCUUGACCUGCCGCUGCUCACGAAUGAGACAUCGCUGUCCGCCAUCGACUCUCCAUAUGAUCUCGUAGUCGAAGCACGUCCUCCCCUGGUAAAAGGGGACCUAAUCGAGGCAGACAUAUCUCGUGUUCAGCAUCAUCUUGUUCACAUAUUCCACGGAGUCAAUGCAGCAUCACUCGGCACCGGACCUCUCGUGCCAUUCUUGGCGUUCUGGCUUAAUGUAUCGGGUUUAACACUUGCUUGGCCUUGGAUUUGAUUCCGGAGAAGAGAGACAGGCGGAGGUGGCCGGACGGCGUUCCUCAUCGAGGAGACCUUCCCCUUGGAGAUGAUGUAGACACUGCAGAAAUCUGGCACACCUUUGCAGAUGGUGGUACUGAGGUCUGUGCUCCUGAAUGAUCUGAGAGGGAAGAUGAUUCGAGUCUCAGAGAUCUUCGAUUAGUCCAAGAAUUGCUCCAGUAAUUUAAGCUCACCUAACGAAUCCGCUUCUUGAUGAUGAUCCAAUCACAAGCUUUUCGACCGCGGCGUUGGUGACGAACUCUGUGAUCGCUUUGGCAACAUCAGUGUCUUCGAGCACCACAUCUUUGCAUUGUACCUAUUAAGGAUUACUCGGAUGCGAACUAUCAGUUUUGAUGACACAAGUAUGAGAUUUCGGAACACGGCGGAUUCAAUUUCAUGAACAUAAUCCACAGUCAACCGGGGGCUGUUCCGAAGAGGAUCAGCAUAAGAACUUGCAUACAUUGUGAAUCUUCUCGGGUCAUCGGGCAACUUCCUUUCACCAGGGGAAAUCUACUCGAAACAUGUUCUUAUCCUAGUUUGAGGAGGAUCGUUGUAUGAUUUUGAGAUGCUGCUUCAGCAAUAGGACAUGGAAUAUAACCUCAAGGUUUCUUAGCAGCAAUUAAAUAUUUUGCUUGCCGGAAAAGGAA